AACACAAGCCUCCGCAGAUCAGGGCUCUCAGCCCUGCCUUUCGUUUUCAUGUGAGGAAAUGAGGGGUUCCUAGACUGUAAUGAGAGUUGAGAAACUGAGCGAAGUAUAAGCCAGCAUGCAUGUGAGUGUGCACAGUCAUUUGCCUCUGCUCUCGACACUGUGAUGUGGCCAGCUGUUGGAAGAUCCUGCCCUGACUUCUGUACAAAGAUCGACUAUAAACUGGAAUUGGGAGCUGAAAUAAACCCUCCACCUCUACAUUGCUUUUUGUCUGGGUAUUUCAUCGCAGCGACAAAAAAAAAAAAAUUAAAAAGAAGGUAAGUGAGUGCUCCUGAGGAGUUCGUUCUUACCUGCUGGAGGCAGAGGUGCCUUGAGAGCAUCGGUCUGAAGACUCUGCCUGGGCACCCCCUUUAUGGUUUGGAUAAAGUGGGGUGACAGUGAGAAGAAUGUUUCCUGCUGUUUUACGGAUAGCCCAGAUCCUUCCUGAGGCAGGCCUGAGUACGCAAAGCAUGGUGGGAAGCGUCCAGCAAGAUCCUGUUAAUGGGACCCGGCCAGUGGAGGGCGGUGCUGACACAGAGAAGCAUAGAAGAUAUGAGGAAGGCUCAUAUCUUCCUCAGGCUGGAGGGUGAUGAGGGCAAGUCCACCUGAGAAGAAUGGAAGAGCAGAGAAGCUGACACACUGUUGGGAAGAUAUGUUCCUUUCACUGAUGUCCCUUCACGCAGUAGAACCGGGAACUUCUCAAACUUCUGUGGGAGUUUCUGAGAGCCAAGUCUCCUUCCUUGCCACCCUGAUCUCCAGGAGCCCUGGGACAGCCGCUGGACACUUCACCUAGCGUCACUGUUUUUACCAUGCUGGCAUCUUUGUUUUAGUGCCUCAAAUUCAUGCUUUCAAGCCCUAAGCCCGCUACAUCAGAACCUGAAUGCCUUUGGAGAUGGUGCUUUGAAAAGACGGGCAAGGACAGGUCACAUGACAUCGUGGGGAAAGUCAUCUGUAGCCAAGCCUGAGGACCUGAGUUCAAUCCCUCGGACUUACACGGUGGCAGGAGAGAACUGGUUAUUACAAGCUGUCCUUGAAUUCCACGACAUGUGAACCUUGAACUCCCAACCCCAACCCACAAAUAAAAAGAUAAAAAUAUAAUCCCAGAAA